rnacentral:sRNA from 1 species
UUUCCUAGUCACGACUCCGUAGGUGAACCUUCGGAGGGAUCAUUACAAGUGCCCCCGGCUACGGCCGGGAUGUUCAUAACCCUUUGUUGUCCGACUCUGUUGCCUCCGGGGCGACCCUUCCUUCGGGCGGGGGCUCCGGGUGGACACUUCAAACUCUUGCGUAACUUUGCAGUCUGAGUAAACUUCAUUAAUAAAUUAAAACUUUUAACAACGGAUCUCUUGGUUCUGGCAUCGAUGAAGAACGCAGCGAAAUGCGAUAAGUAAUGUGAAUUGCAGAAUUCAGUGAAUCAUCGAAUCUUUGAACGCACAUUGCGCCCCCUGGGAUUCCGGGGGGCAUGCCUGUUCGAGCGUCAUUUCACCACUCAAGCCUCGCUUGGUAUUGGGCAACGCGGCCCGCCGCGUGCCUCAAAUCGUCCGGCUGGGUCUUCUGUUCCCUAAGCGUUGUGGAAACUAUUCGCUAAAAGGUGUUCGGGAGGCUACGCCGUAAAACAACCCCAUUUCUAAGGUUGACCUCGGAUCAGGUAGGGAUACCCG